rnacentral:rRNA from 1 species
GAUGUCCUACGGGGCGCAGCAGUGAGGAAUAUUGGUCAAUGAACGAGAGUCUGAACCAGCCACGUAGCGUGAAGGAUGACUGCCCUAUGGGUUGUACACUUCUUUUAUAUGGGAAUAAAAUGUUCCACGUGUGGGAUUUUGUAUGUACCAUAUGAAUAAGGAUCGGCUAACUCCGUGCCAGCAGCCGCGGUAAUACGGAGGAUCCGAGCGUUAUCCGGAUUUAUUGGGUUUAAAGGGAGCGUGGGUGGAUUGUUAAGUCAGUUGUGAAAGUUUGCGGCUCAACCGUAAAAUUGCAGUUGAAACUG